rnacentral:rRNA from 1 species
CCUAAUACAUGCAAGUCGUACGCUAGCCGCUGAAUUGAUCCUUCGGGUGAAGUGAGGCAAUGACUAGAGUGGCGAACUGGUGAGUAACACGUAAGAAACCUGCCCUUUAGUGGGGGAUAACAUUUGGAAACAGAUGCUAAUACCGCGUAACAACAAAUCACACAUGUGAUCUGUUUGAAAGGUCCUUUUGGAUCGCUAGAGGAUGGUCUUGCGGCGUAUUAGCUUGUUGGUAGGGUAGAAGCCUACCAAGGCAAUGAUGCGUAGCCGAGUUGAGAGACUGGCCGGCCACAUUGGGACUGAGACACUGCCCAAACUCCUACGGGAGGCUGCAGUAGGGAAUUUUCCGCAAUGCACGAAAGUGUGACGGAGCGACGCCGCGUGUGUGAUGAAGGCUUUCGGGUCGUAAAGCACUGUUGUAAGGGAAGAAUAACUGAAUUCAGAGAAAGUUUUCAGCUUGACGGUACCUUACCAGAAAGGGAUGGCUAAAUACGUGCCAGCAGCCGCGGUAAUACGUAUGUCCCGAGCGUUAUCCGGAUUUAUUGGGCGUAAAGCGAGCGCAGACGGUUUAUUAAGUCUGAUGUGAAAUCCCGAGGCCCAACCUCGGAACUGC